UCUGGGGUAGCUCAAUGGUAGAGCAGUGGACUGUUAAUCCAUUGGUUGUGGGUUCGAAUCCCACCCCCAGAG
rnacentral:tRNA from 1 species